UACGUAUGGAGCAAGCGUUAUCCGGAUUUACUGGGUGUAAAGGGAGCGUAGGCGGUAAGGCAAGUCUGAUGUGAAAGCCCGGGGCUCAACCCCGGGACUGCAUUGGAAACUGUUUAACUAGAGUGUCGGAGAGGUAAGUGGAAUUCCUAGUGUAGCGGUGAAAUGCGUAGAUAUUAGGAGGAACACCAGUGGCGAAGGCGGCUUACUGGACGAUAACUGACGCUGAGGCUCGAAAGCGUGGGGAGCAAACAGG
rnacentral:rRNA from 1 species